CGGGGUGUGGCGCAGCUUGGUAGCGUAGCUGCUUUGGGAGCAGAAGGUCGGAAGUUCAAAUCUUCUCACCCCGACCA
rnacentral:tRNA from 1 species